rnacentral:tRNA from 1 species
GGAGAGGUGUCCGAGUGGUCGAAGGUCUCUGACUCGAAAUCAGACGUACCGCAAGGUACCGUGGGUUCGAAUCCCACCCUCUCUGCCA